UAGAUGCGAGAGUAGAGCAUAUCAAUAAGCGGAGGAAAAGAAACUAACAAGGAUUCCCUUAGUAACGGCGAGUGAAGCGGGAAGAGCUCAAAUUUGAAAUCUUCAAGGUUCUACCUUGACGAAUUGUAGUUUAAAGAAGUGUUUUCUGUUAGAUGAGUAGCAAAAGUUCCUUGGAAUGGGACAUCAUAGAGGGUGAGAAUCCCGUAUUUGGUUAUUCAUUCUAGCUUUGUGAUACACUUUCAAAGAGUCGGAUUGUUUGGGAAUGCAGUCCAAAAUGGGUGGUAAAUUUCAUCUAAAGCUAAAUAUUGGCGAGAGACCGAUAGCGAACAAGUACCGUGAGGGAAAGAUGAAAAGAACUUUGAAAAGAGAGUUAAACAGUACGUGAAAUUGUCAAAAGGGAAGCGUUUGACACCAGUGUUGUUUUUCCGAAAAUCAAUUACGAAUGGCUUGAUUUUGUGUUGUAUUGACCUUAUCAGCUUUCUGCACUUUUUUUCGAGUCUUUCUUAAUGCACUUUUCGGUUAACAAGUCAACAUCAAUUUCUUUUGUUGUAAAAGAGUAUUCGGAAGGUGGCUUUCUUUUCGGAGAAAGUGUUUAUAGCCCUAUACUUCUACAAUCGGAGAGAUUGAGGUCUGCAGCGUAGAUCCUUCGGGGUUAGAUACACUUGUGCUAAGUUGUAGCUUUUCAUAGACAACUUGUUGACUAUGUUUAGUCAUGCGGCUUACUCGCUUAGUGCUAUUUUACCUACGCUUAGGAUGUUGAGCGCAUGUCUCUCUCU
rnacentral:rRNA from 1 species